rnacentral:rRNA from 1 species
CCUACGGGUGGCAGCAGUGGGGAAUAUUGGGCAAUGGAGGAAACUCUGACCCAGCAACGCCGCGUGAAUGAUGAAGGUCUUCUGAUUGUAAAGUUCUUUUCUCAGGGAAGAAGAAAGUGACGGUCCCUUAGGCAUAAGCCUCGGCUAACUACGUGCCAGCAGGAGCGGUAAUACGUAGGAGGCGAGCGUUAUCCGGAAUGACUGGGCGUAAAGGGUGCGUAGGUGGUUUGGCAAGUUAGUAGCGUAACUCCAAGGCUCAACCUUGGAACUACUACUAACACUGUUGGACUUGAGUGCAGGAGGGGCAACCGGAAUUCCUAGUGUAGCGGUGGAAUGCGUAGAUAUUAGGAAGAACACCAGUGGCGAAGGCGGAUUACUGGACGACAACUGACGGUGAGGCGCGAAAGCGUGGGGAGCAAACAGGAUUAGAUACCCUAGUAGUC